rnacentral:rRNA from 1 species
UACGUAGGGGGCAAGCGUUGUCCGGAAUCAUUGGGCGUAAAGCGCGCGUAGGUGGCCCCAUAAGUCCGCUGUGAAAGUCAAAGGCUCAACCUUUGAAAGCCGGUGGAUACUGUGAGGCUAGAGUACGGAAGAGGCGAGUGGAAUUCCUGGUGUAGCGGUGGAAUGCGCAGAUAUCAGGAGGAACACCAAUAGCGAAGGCAGCUCGCUGGGACGUUACUGACACUGAGGCGCGAAAGCGUGGGGAGCGAACAGG